UCCUGGUUAGCUCAGUUGGUAGAGCGCUGCGCUGGGAAUGGAGAGGUUCCUGUUUUGAUAACAGGACCAGAUA
rnacentral:tRNA from 1 species